rnacentral:misc_RNA from 1 species
GAUGAAGAACGCAGCGAAAUGCGAUAAGUAAUGUGAAUUGCAGAAUUCAGUGAAUCAUCGAAUCUUUGAACGCACAUUGCGCCCCUUGGUAUUCCGAGGGGCAUGCCUGUUCGAGCGUCAUUAUAACCCCUCAAGCUUAGCUUGGUGUUGGGGCCUGCUGUAAUAGAGCAGCCCUUAAAAUCAGUGGCGGUGCCAUUAGGCUCUAAGCGUAGUAAUUCUUCUCGCUAUAGGGUUCUGGUGGAUGCUUGCCAUUAACCUCUAAUUUUCUAUGGUUGACCUCGGAUCAGGUAGCGAUACCCGCUGAACUUAAGCAUAUCAAUAAGCGGAGGA